CCAAAGUGCUAUGGCCUCUGUGCACAGAACUCGAGCUCAGGCCACCUUGACGAUUUAUGUAAAACAUUGCUGCACCGUUGUGUAUGUACAGUCUGACAUGUCUGUUGGUGAUGAAUGGGAGGAAUUUGGGGCAUGCAUUCUUGACUGAAGUUCUAGGACGUUUAUGUGCAGAUUCUUGUUGGUGCUGGACCACAGGCCCUGGCAGGUAUGAUGGUGCAGGUGGGUGCCCCAUCCUUUAAAAGAUGAAAUUGUCGUCUUGGAGAUGGAUGGUUCUGGUGGGCGGAAGGAGACUCCAGAAUAUAGGUUCCUUGGACUCAGCCACUAGCUAAGGAUUCCUUUACUACUCCUGGAAGAGCAAGGGAUUUGGAUAACAGAUGGACAUUGGGUUUGUACACCUGUCCCAGCCAGCUCUGUAAGCAUCUCAUGUGCAGAUGGGCAUUGCCAAUUACAAAGUUGUACUCUUCCACAUGCUCCAACAGUCGAAGGCAUUUGAGUGCUGUUGUGCAGGGGCUGGAUCGUAAGGUAUUUAUCGAGGCCACGAUUUUUUGAAAAUGGUCUGUAGGUAGGGGUGCAGUGGCUGUUGUCAAAUCGAGGCAUGCUCCUAUGAACUGUAUCUUUUGUGUAGGAUAGAGUAUCUAUUUGGCUUCAUUCACCUGAAGGCCCAGGGUGACUGUAAGAGUGUGGCAGGAAUCAUGUGAGCAUGACUUGAGGAGGCAGACAUCUAGGUAAGGAAAUAUGAUAACACUUUGUUUCCUCAAGUACGCUGUGAUGACCGCCAGCACUUUUGAGAAGACCCUCGGGACUGUAGAGAGUCUGAAACAAAGCUCUUUGUAUUAGUAGUGAUGAGAAUCUACAACAAAACAAAGAAAACGCCUGUGAGCAGGGUGGAUGGCAAUGUGAAAGUAUGCCUCUUGCAAGUCAAGGGAUGAGAACCAGUCAUCCUUUUCCAAUGCUGGUAAUAUGGUAAUAAGUGUUGCCAUUUUGAAUUUUUGUUUCUGUAUGAAUUUAUUGAGCCUUCAAAGCUCCAGUAUGGGCCUCCAACCCCCCGAUCUUUUCUCUGUCAAAAAGUAGUGAGUAGAAUCCCUUGUUUCUAAAUUGUGUGAGGACUGGUUUAAUCAUCCCAAUGUGUAACAGGUGCUCUAUUUCUUGUUGAAGGAGGGUCUUGUGAGUGGUCCCUGAAGAGGGACGGGAAAGGGGGGUGGAGAAAGGGGUAUUGGACACAAAAAGGGAUAAGGUAGCUUUUUUCAGUUCUCUGCAGGACCCAUCCAUCAGAGGUUAUAUGUUGCCAGUUGUUGAGGAAAGGCAAGAAUCGAUGAUGGAAGAGAUUUGCUUGCGUUGACAGUGAUGGAAUAGGUUCUUGUUGUGGAUCCCGAGAGAGCGCAGCAUUACUCUGGAGUGGAGAGUUUUGUUGGUGUUAGCUGCAAACAACUUCUGGCCGUCAAAGGGCAGAUCAUCUACUGUAGCUUGAAUCUCCCUGGGGAAUGGAGUGGAGCUAAACCAUUAUGCCCUUCUCAUUACUACCAAUGUUGAACAUGCAGCUGUCAGCGGCAUCUAAGGCAGUCUGUAAUACUGUUCUUGAAAUUGUGUGACCUUUGGAUAUCAGUGCUAUGUAUUGUUGCCGCUUAGCCUCAGGAAUGUCUGCAACAAAGUCACUCAGUUUGGUGUAAUUUCUAUAAUCGUAUUUGCUCAUUAAAGCUGCAUAAUUCGAAAUGCAAAA